CCUACGGGAGGCAGCAGUGGGGAAUAUUGCACAAUGGGGGGAACCCUGAUGCAGCGACGCCGCGUGAGUGAAGAAGGAUUUCGGUAUUUACAGCUCUAUCAGCAGGGGAGAAAAUGACGGUACCUGACUAAGAAGCCCCGGCUAACUACGUUCCAGCAGCCGCGGUACUACGUAGGGGGCAAGCGUUAUCCGGAUUUACUGGGUGUAAAGGGAGCGCAGACGGCUGUGCAAGUCUGGAGUGAAAGGCGGGGGCCCAACCCGCGGACUGCUCUGGAAACUGUAAAGCUGGAGUGCAGGAGAGGUAAGCGGAAUUACUAGUGUAGCGGUGAAAUGCGUAGAUAUUAGGAGGAACACCAGUGGCGAAGGCGGCUUACUGGACUGCAACUGACGUUGAGGCUCGAAAGCGUGGGGAGCAAACAGGAUUAGAUACCCGGGUAGUC
rnacentral:rRNA from 1 species